rnacentral:misc_RNA from 1 species
GGUUUUCUUUGAUGACAUCUUGGUGUAUGGUAAGGAUAUCCAGUCUUAUUUACAGUAUUUUGAAAGUUUUUAAAGUUUUACAGCUGCAACAACUUUAUGCAAAGAGAUCUAAAUGUUUAUUUGGGGAGACUGAAGUAGAGUAUCUUAGGCAUAUUAUUUCAGGGCAAGGUGUAGCUACUGAUCCCAAAAAUGUUGCUGCCAUGGUUAAUUGGCCAGCUCUAGUUUCAGUUAAAGAUCUUAGGAGUUUGCUUGGCUUGACAGGAUACUAGAGGAAGAUUGUCAAAUACUAUGGUAUAAUAUGCACGCCUUUAACUGGCCUUUUGAGGAAAGACAAUUUUCAGUGGAGCGAGGCAGCCCAGUAGGCUUUUGAUACAAUGAGGAAUCUCAUGUCUGAGGCACCAGUCCUU